GCUCAAUUGGUAUAGUGGUUAGUGCCGCUGACUGCCGUUCCGAAGGGCCUGGGUUCGAAUCCCGGAGAAGGCA
rnacentral:tRNA from 1 species